GUGGGGAAUUUUGGACAAUGGGCGCAAGCCUGAUCCAGCCAUGCCGCGUGAGUGAUGAAGGCCUUAGGGUUGUAAAGCUCUUUCAGUGGGGACGAUAAUGACGGUACCCACAGAAGAAGCCCCGGCUAACUUCGUGCCAGCAGCCGCGGUAAUACGAAGGGGGCUAGCGUUGUUCGGAUUUACUGGGCGUAAAGCGCACGUAGGCGGAUCGUUAAGUCGGGGGUGAAAUCCUGGAGCUCAACUCCAGAACUGCCUUCGAUACUGGCGAUCUUGAGUCCGGAAGAGGUGAGUGGAACUCCUAGUGUAGAGGUGGAAUUCGUAGAUAUUAGGAAGAACACCAGUGGCGAAGGCGGCUCACUGGUCCGGUACUGACGCUGAGGUGCGAAAGCGUGGGGAGCAAACAGGAUUAGAUACCCUAGUAGUCC
rnacentral:rRNA from 1 species